CACAAGGCAACACCUUUAUAUGUACAUCUUGUCGUGAACAACGAUCACAAGGCGAUCUACGUUUGUUAAACUUUGGACCCUUCCACUCGUCAACUCAUUGUCACUGGAAACAUGUUGCUCCUGCUGCUUGCUGCAUCCCUGCCGCUGUGCUUCGGGGCAGAAGAACAUCAUUACCCUAACGUUACCGACGCCGUGCAUAUCCUGUUUGAGGACGCCGAUCGCAGCGGUGACGGGAUCCUGACUCUCAGAGAGUUUAUCGACAGCUACUAGCCUACGACCAUAACAACGAUGACAAAUUUCACAGACCGAGUUCGCCAACUACACUCAAGAGCUGGCGCCGGAGCUGCAUGGCUAGAGAAGGCGCUCUUCACGCUCUACGACUCUGACCACGACCAUCGCUUGGAGAUGGGCGACUUCGUCAGGUUUUAUGAGGCCAUCGACACCUCUGGUAAGGACCACGUGACUGAGGACCAAUACAAAGCCUACUUUAUCACGCUAUAUCGUCAGUUGAGUCGUGUGCCUGACAUUAUUGGAUGAGUUCAUUCAGCGUUGAUGGUUCUACUUCCCCCACACUUCCAGAAAAAUCUCACUACUGUUCAUCUGGAUGAUACAAAUCAACGCUUCUUGGAAACUAAACUGUCUUCACAUUAGGA